rnacentral:rRNA from 1 species
GUGGGGAAUAUUGGACAAUGGGCGAAAGCCUGAUCCAGCCAUGCCGCGUGUGUGAAGAAGGUCUUCGGAUUGUAAAGCACUUUAAGUUGGGAGGAAGGGUUGUAGAUUAAUACUCUGCAAUUUUGACGUUACCGACAGAAUAAGCACCGGCUAACUCUGUGCCAGCAGCCGCGGUAAUACAGAGGGUGCAAGCGUUAAUCGGAAUUACUGGGCGUAAAGCGCGCGUAGGUGGUUUGUUAAGUUGGAUGUGAAAUCCCCGGGCUCAACCUGGGAACUGCAUUCAAAACUGACUGACUAGAGUAUGGUAGAGGGUGGUGGAAUUUCCUGUGUAGCGGUGAAAUGCGUAGAUAUAGGAAGGAACACCAGUGGCGAAGGCGACCACCUGGACUAAUACUGACACUGAGGUGCGAAAGCGUGGGGAGCAA